UACGGGGGGGGCAAGCGUUGUCCGGAAUUACUGGGCGUAAAGGGCUCGUAGGCGGCCAACUAAGUCGGACGUGAAAUCCCUCAGCUUAACUGGGGAACUGCGUCCGAUACUGGAUGGCUUGGAUUUGGGAGAGGGAUGCGGAAUUCCAGGUGUAGCGGUGAAAUGCGUAGAUAUCUGGAGGAACACCGGUGGCGAAGGCGGCAUCCUGGACCAAUAUUGACGCUGAGGAGCGAAAGCGAGGGGAGCAAACGGG
rnacentral:rRNA from 1 species